rfam:Azonexus hydrophilus strain ZS02 NODE_13_length_1316_cov_81.1522_ID_564, whole genome shotgun sequence.
UGCGUUUUUCGCCCAGGCGGAGCUCGACCGCCGCUUCAAAUCGUGAAGGCCUUUAUCGACGAGCACCGGGAACGUUUCGGGGUCGAGCCAAUCUGUCAGCAAUUGCAGGUUGCCCCG